rnacentral:rRNA from 1 species
GACGAACGCUGGCGGCGUGCUUAACACAUGCAAGUCGAACGAUGAAGUUGGAGCUUGCUCUAGCGGAUUAGUGGCGAACGGGUGAGUAACACGUGACUAACCUGCCCCUUUCUCUGGGAUAACGCUCCGAAAGGAGUGCUAAUACCGGAUACUCACACCGAGGCACAUGCCUUGGUGUGGAAAGUUUUUCGGAAAGGGAUGGAGUCGCGGCCUAUCAGCUUGUUGGUGAGGUAACGGCUCACCAAGGCGACGACGGGUAGCCGGCCUGAGAGGGCGACCGGCCACACUGGGACUGAGACACGGCCCAGACUCCUACGGGAGGCAGCAGUGGGGAAUAUUGCACAAUGGGCGCAAGCCUGAUGCUGCGACGCCGCGUGAGGGAUGAAGGUCUUCGGAUUGUAAACCUCUUUCAGUAGGGACGAAGCGAAAGUGACGGUACCUAAAGAAGAAGCACCGGCUAACUACGUGCCAGCCGCCGCAGUAA